rnacentral:ncRNA from 2 species
UUAACUUUGCACCAGUCAAGUUUCCUAUCGAAGUGUCGAUUGGAAUUAAAAGGGAAUCCCGGUGAAAAUCCGGAGCUGUACUCGCAGCUGUAAGUCCUAAUUAAAGUUUAUCGCACUCUUUGCCACUGGUGAAAGCUGGGAAGGCGCGAUAAGCGGGAUGAGCCAGAAGACCUGCUUGAUGAGAUAUGAUUUA